GUGAGGAAUAUUGCACAAUGGGCGAAAGCCUGAUGCAGCAACGCCGCGUGAGUGAUGAAGGCCUUUGGGUCGUAAAACUCUGUCCUUGGGGAAGAAAAAAAUGACGGUACCCUUGGAGGAAGCCCCGGCUAACUACGUGCCAGCAGCCGCGGUAAUACGUAGGGGGCAAGCGUUAUCCGGAAUUAUUGGGCGUAAAGAGUGCGUAGGUGGUUUUGUAAGCGUAGGGUGAAAGGCAGUAGCUCAACUAUUGUUAGCCCUGCGAACUGUGAGACUUGAGUGCAGGAGAGGAAAGUGGAAUUCCUAGUGUAGCGGUGAAAUGCGUAGAUAUUAGGAGGAACACCAGUGGCGAAGGCGACUUUCUGGACUGUAACUGACACUGAGGCACGAAAGCGUGGGUAGCAAACAGGAUUAGAUACCCCGGUAGUCC
rnacentral:rRNA from 1 species